GACGAACGCUGGCGGCGUGCUUAACACAUGCCAGUCGAACGGAAAGGCCCUGCUUUUGUGGGGUGCUCGAGUGGCGAACGGGUGAGUAACACGUGAGUAACCUGCCCUUGACUUUGGGAUAACUUCAGGAAACUGGGGUUAAUACCGGAUAGGAUCUCCUGCUGCAUGGUGGGGGUUGGAAAGUUUCGGCGGUUGGGGAUGGACUCGCGGCUUAUCAGCUUGUUGGUGGGGUAGUGGCUUACCAAGGCUUUGACGGGUAGCCGGCCUGGGAGGGUGACCGGCCACAUUGGGACUGCGGUACGGCCCAGACUCCUACGGGAGGCAGCAGUGGGGAAUAUUGCACAAUGGGCGGAAGCCUGAUGCAGCAACGCCGCGUGCGGGAUGACGGCCUUCGGGUUGUAAACCGCUUUCGCCUGUGACGAAGCGUGAGUGACGGUAAUGGGUAAAGAAGCACCGGCUAACUACGUG
rnacentral:rRNA from 1 species